CCCCUCUUUUUUUAAAAGUUUAAUGCAAAAAAUAAUUCAAUCUCCUUGUAGUCAACAAUGUACCAGCUGGACAAGUAGUAGUAUUUUGUAAAACAAUCAGCAAAUUGAUGUCCUGAAAAUUGCAGCCAUUUAUAUAUGUUUACUGAGAUUCAAACUAUAAAUUAAAAUCUGGUCACAUGCAGACAAUUUAAUGCCACCGGGGAAUCAAUAGUGUACAAUUCAGAUGAGGUAAGGACUAAGGACUAUCAGAAUUUUAUAUUGCAGAUGAGAAAUGGCAAUUAUGAUCAAAUAACUCACAUCAGGAAACUCAUUUUGACAAACUCAAAGAUAGAAAAUACUAACAACUGGGCAUUUGGUCUAGUGGUAUGAUUCUCGCUUUGGGUGCGAGAGGUCCCGAGUUCGAUUCUCGGAAUGCCCCAACUAAUAUCAACUUUUUUACAUGCAAAAUUAAGCAGGCCAUAAAUGGCUAACCUAGCUCAAUUGACUAGAGAUAUAAGAAAACACACUUCAUAGUUUCUUUUCUGCGGUCUCGGAGUUAUCAUACAAAUGCUAUAAUUUACCCUCCACCUUAAUUUCAACUAGCACACAACCUCACCUUGUCAUCUUGGAUGACUUAGUGUUAACCUUAUUGCAAGAUUGUCUACAGGGAACAUAAACAGUGGGUACUUAGUCUAGUCGUAUGAUUCAUCGGUGCAAGAUUCUUAGUAUUUUGUAAAAAGAAUCAGCAUUGAGAUUGAUGUUCUGAAAAUUGCAGCAAGUUCAUCAGUCAUUUAUAGAACUAAGAUUAAAAAAAAAUAGAAUUCACACUUGGUCACAUGCUGACAAUUUAAUGCCACAGGGGAAUCAAUAUACUGUAAAUUAAAAAAAAGACCAUUUGUACAGUCUAAAACUAACUUUCUUUUGUCAAUGCAUGUACCAAACCUUACCUAAUGCUUGACUUCAAGAGCUCUUCAUUGUUUCCAUUUUUGUAAGCUGAUCUCCAGUCAACUACAAAACUCAAUCGACUGUCUUCAUAAAACAAAAUUUGCAGGUAAAGAUUCUUUUAAUUCAUGUUAAUGGAUAAACCCAAUGGCAUGAGCACUUGAAGCUGAAUAAGAGUAAAUCUAGAUCUAUAAGCUAAAAAUUAAAAUAAUACAUCAUGAAUACUUGCAAUGGUGCAGAGUUGGGCUUGCCUGUUCAGUUUAAAGAUCUGAAACUCCAACGUUCAACAUCUAACUCCCAAAAGAUCCCUAAAUAUAAAAUGUUGGACAGAUAAGUUCUCGAGUAUCUCAAAUAUCACAAGCCAUCAUUUCAGAUAUGCUUUUUUGCCAUCCAUUCUCAAUUUGACAAAGCAGGCAAAACUUAAUGAAGUUGGUACAUGGAUUUGUCGUAACAUCAAAGAAUCAUUAUAGAUACAAGGUCAUUUACAGGUCAAGGAAGUUUACAAUAACAACUGAUAUCAUUAAUCAAGGAAGCUCUCUGAAUUUCAAGUCAAAAUAAGGAAUGAAACGGAUAUCCACAGUUCAUGAGCCAUUUUCAUUUCACUUGAGUGAAACAAAGAAGCAUGAACUUCAUUGUACCAUGUUGCUUUGCACCCAAAAUCGCAUAACAUGAGCUGCACCAUUCCAUGAAACAAGUGAUAAUGAUAUAGCUUAACAAAGAAGGUAUCCAAAAGAGAACUGGAAGUAAGAGAACCCAGAAAAAAGCACAUGGUUAACUAUCAAUGGGAUAAUCCUUAGUGGAGAUUUUAUUUGCUUCAGCUGUAACUAGAACGAUGAAGCUCAAACAUGAAAUAUUAAUUCAGCUAACGCCGGAGACCUGGCCUCAUGUCCAAUGACAGUUCUUAAUCACUACACAGAUCUCACGUGUUUUGGAUUCCAGAUGACCAAAGGGUUGAGUAUGAUAGCAUAGGAUUGUAAAUAUACAAGUGACAGUAACAACCAAAGCUGAUAGCAUCUAUAGGCAUCGAGAAAAGUAAUUUGAGGAACUGCAGAGGCAUAUUAUUUUAAGCAACCUUCUAUAUACACCUCACAUCCAAAUAAAAAGUACUCAAGAACAUUUUUUUUGAUAAUUAAGUACUCAAGAACAUUUAAGCAAGCAAAUGAAGAUCAUAUGGUGUAAAAUACGGAUUAUUUGAAUUCUAUAUUACAGUAAGCAAUGACAAUUGUGUGAUCAAAUAGCUGACAAAGCUAAAAUACAUUUGACUAAAAUUCAAAUAAGACAAUGUCAACGAUGGGCAUUUGGUCUAGUGGUAUGAUUCUCGCUUUGGGUGCGAGAGGUCCCGAGUUCGAUUCUCGGAAUGCCCCUUAAUUUAUAAAAGUUUUUAUUUACUCUAAGAUGAUUUAACUUUUCAAAGGCUCAAACAAUGGAGAAUGUUUAUCUCACCUAGAAAAUUUUUGCACAAAAUGGUACAAGCUCCAGACAACCAAUAUCAACUUCAAACUAUUAUUACCACUGAGGGACCAACAAGAACUGGGCAUUUGGUCUAGUGGUAUGAUUCUCGCUUUGGGUGCGAGAGGUCCCGAGUUCGAUUCUCGGAAUGCCCCUUAAUUUAUAAAAAAAAUUAUUUACUCUAAGAUGAUUUUAACUUUUCAAAGGCUCAAACAAUGGAGAAUGUUUAUCUCACCUAGAAAAUUAUUGCACAGAAUGGUACAAGCUCCAGACAACCAAUAUCAACUUCAAACUAUUAUUACCACUGAGGGACCAACAAGAACUGGGCAUUUGGUCUAGUGGUAUGAUUCUCGCUUUGGGUGCGAGAGGUCCCGAGUUCGAUUCUCGGAAUGCCCCCAUCUAAUACAACUUUUUAAUUCAUUUUACUUGCAACUCUGCUCCUUCACUCUAUUUUCUAAGUGAUAGUACAUGCAAAUUAAGCAGGGUCAUUUAUGUAACUAAGAUUCAAAAAAAUAGAAUUCACACUUGGUCACAUGCUGACAAUUUAAUGCCACAGGGGAAUCAAUAUUCUGUAAGUUUAUUAAAAAAAGACCAUUUGUACAGUCCAGACUUAACUUUGUUUUGUCAAUGCCUGUACCAAAUCUUAACUAAUGCUUGACUUCAAGAGCUCUUCGUUGUUUCCAUUUUUGUAACCUGAUCUCCAGUCAACUACAAAACUCAAUCGACUGUCUUCAUAAAACAAAAAUCGCAGGUAAAGAUUCUAUUUAUUCAUGUUAAUGGACAACCAAAUGGCAUGAGCACUUGAAGCUGAAUAAGGUAAAUCUAGAUCUAUAAGCUAAAAUUUAAUACAUCAUGAAUACUUGCAAUAGUGCAGAAUGGGGGGCUUGCCUGUUCAGUUUACAGAUCUGAAACUCCAACGUUCAAAGUCUAACUCCCAAAAGAUCC
rnacentral:lncRNA from 1 species